rfam:Oryza glaberrima chromosome 4 Oglab04_0008_9, whole genome shotgun sequence.
AGUAAGUGCAGUUUUUGCACUAUUCACGUUCAACGUUUAAUCAUUCGUCUUAUUUGAAAUUUUUUAUGAUUAGUAUUUUUAUUUCUAUUAGAUGAUAAAAUAUGAAUAGUACUUUAUGUCUGACUAUUAUUUUAAUUUUUUCAUAAACUUUUUAAAUAAGACGGACUGUCAAACAUUAGACACGGAUAUCCACGGCUGCACUUAUU